rnacentral:piRNA from 1 species
UUCUGAUAGAUUGCUCUGAAUUUCAU